UGUAAUGUGCCAGGUGUACUUGCAAUAAUCAGUGAAAGUGCGCCAACGUCAAAUCACACAGACAGAGGGAGAGCACAACUCUUGGCUGCAGCUGAAGGAGGACGAUUGAUUUCUGGCAGUUCGUCUUACCAUUGCUUGUAAGCUGGAUUGGGUAAGAUGGAUCAUCUUUAAAGGCACCAGGAGUUAAGGCAGAUGUGGAGGCACAAGGGGUGACACCAGACACACACCAAGCACAUUGUUCGGACAUUCAAUCAUGACAGGAUCCAGGUGGAUGCUGUCCAUUGAGGAAAGAGUUUGUUCAGAGGUUUCUGGAUAGAAUUAAUUCCAAAGAUGGGAAAAAGUGCACAUCCAGACAAGGAGCAAGCAAAUAGACAAGGAACUUGGUGCAGAGAAAAGCUGUGGCCAUUAACCCCCAUGUGAACAGCUUCAUGCAGUCCCUGAUUGAGUUCGAAUGGACGACUUCAAAGUAAAGGCCACUGUGGUCUGUCUGCCACAGUUUAAUUUUUAAUUUAUUUUUAGUGUUCAAUGAAAUUCAAGUAGAAUAUUUAAAACUAUGGGCCAGUGUUCUUUUUACCACAGUGAAAUGUUACCUUUAAGUCGAUGAUGGACUUUAAACUGAAAACUUCAAACUAUGGAACAGUGUUCUAUUUGCCAGAGUUAAAUAUGUUACAGCAGGGGUCUCCAAACUUGUUUAUACUUGUUGAUUUUAUUUUAUGUUACUUGAUUAUAUGUUUAUUAUUGUUUAAAAUCUUGUUUUAAAUGUUUUGUUUCAAUUAAAUGUUUUUUUAAAUAAAAUUUUGAUACAAACAUUGCUUGGAUUGCCUUUUAAUUCAUUAUGUCAUGUCAAGGAUAGCAUUUUUACC